rnacentral:rRNA from 1 species
AUUGAACGCUGGCGGCAGGCCUAACACAUGCAAGUCGAACGAGUGGCGGACGGGUGAGUAAUGUCUGGGAAACUGCCCGAUGGAGGGGGAUAACUACUGGAAACGGUAGCUAAUACCGCAUACCAUCGGAUGUGCCCAGAUGGGAUUAGCUAGUAGGUGGGGUAACGGCGAACCUAGGCGACGCUCCCUAGCUGGUCUGAGAGGAUGACCAGCCACAGUGGAACUGAGACACGGUCCAGACUCCUACGGGGGGCAGCAGUGGGAAAUAUGGAAAAGUGGGCGCAGGCCUGAUGCAGCCAUGCCGGGUGUAUGAAGAAGGCCUUCGGGUUGUAAAGUACUUUCAGCGAGGAGACGUAACUCGCAGAAGAGGCACCGGUUAACUCCGUGCCAGCAGCCGCGUAAUUC